AUGAGAGAGGAGCUGUACGAUAAGGUUUCGCAUGCGGAAAGGACCUACAAUAUCCCUGGCAGGGCAGGCAAACAUAUCAGUCGGCUGCGUGAGGAGCUCGCCGUGCAAGUGGAUCCUAGACACGGGGACAGCACAUGGCGCGAGAUGCGAGUGCUAAAUCCACUUAGUGACUGCGUGCGAUUUGUGACUUUGACCUUCAGCUUGUAUGUGCUCAUGGGCAUGGCCGCUGGUAAGAUCGUUGAAUUGGAUCCAGAUGAAAAGCAAUGGAUCCAGAAGAAAAGAGGGGAGGCGCGCAAGCAAAGUGAAACAAAAUGA
rnacentral:rRNA from 1 species